CCUACGGGUGGCUGCAGUGAGGAAUAUUGGUCAAUGGACGCAAGUCUGAACCAGCCAAGUAGCGUGCAGGAUGACGGCCCUCCGGGUUGUAAACUGCUUUUAGUUGGGAAUAAAAGAGGGCUCGUGAGACCCGUAUUGUAUGUAUCAUCAGAAAAAGGAACGCCUAAUUCCGUGCCAGCAGCCGCGGUAAUACGGAAGGUCCUGGCGUUAACCGGAUGUAUUUGGUUUAAAGGGAGCGUAGGCCGGCUUUGAAGUCAGCUUGUAAAGUCCGCGGCUCAACCGUGGAAUUGCAGUUGAAACUGGAGGCGUUGAGUGCACACAGGGAUGCCGGAGUUAAUGGUGUAGCGGGGAAAUGCUUAGAUAUCAUGAAGAACUCCGAUCGCGAAGGCAAGUGUCCGGGGUGCAACUGACGCUGAGGCUCGAAAGUGCGGGUAUCAAACAGGAGUAGAUACCCGAGUAGUC
rnacentral:rRNA from 1 species